rnacentral:rRNA from 1 species
GCACCCGCGGUAAUUCCAGCUCCAAUAGCGUAUAUUAAUGUUGUUGCAGUUAAAAAGCUCGUAGUUGGAUUUCUGCGAGGGUGCCAAUGUCCGUCGACGCGCGUGCGCAGCGGCGCCCUCGCAUCCUUCUGUUACCACCUCUCGGCAUUCACUUGCCGGUGGUCGGCUCAGAGAAUUUACCUUGAGAAAAUUAGAGUGUUUCAGGCAGGCUAGGCCGGAAUACAUUAGCAUGGAAUAAUGGAAUAGGACUACGGUCUCGUUGUUGGUUUGAGGGACUGCAGUAAUGAUUAAUAGGGAUAGUUGGGGGCAUUAGUAUUUAAUUGUCAGAGGUGAAAUUCUCAGAUUUGUUAAAGACUAACUUAUGCGAAAGCAUUUGCCAAGGAUGUUUUCAUCGAUCAAGAACGAAAGU